ensembl:lncRNA
GGGUAUUUCUACACAACAAACUAAUCAAACUGUUAGCAAGAUGGUCAAUGAUCAGUAAUGAUGCUUGCAUGCAGGAAUGAUUUGUGGUUACUGUAUUUAGAGCAUGUUAAAACUGAUUUGCUUUUCUUUGUAGCACAGACUUCAAUUUAUCCAGCAGUGUGUGGCAUUAAGACGGACAUCAAUAAAGUACAAUGUGAUAAAGAAACUUUUUUUUAUUCUCAAAGUUGAAUAUCAUAAAAAUCAUGGUGGUUGAACUAUGCAUAACAAUAACAAUGUGUGGAAGAAUUUCAACUAGGUCUUCAUUUGACUCCUCCUCCUGCGAAUUGAUCUGAAAACAAACAAACAUCAGGUGAAGAGUGUGUAGUGUUGCUGACCUUCAAUCAGAGAGAUGUAAGAGCAGGGGGGGGGUGUGUGAGAGAAAAAGAGUUCAGCUCAGGGAUUGGUCAGACAGCCAAGAGGAAGUGACAUCACAGGAGUUCAGCCUAAUAUGCGAAACCUAUCUGACUCUCAUCAUCCGUCCCUGCCGAUAUCAGGUCUACUCGACUCGAUGUCUUUAUGGUUAAAUCAGUAAAAGGUGUAGAAUUGAUUGAUGUAGUAGAGCGCAGUCGCCCGAGGAAUUGCGCAGCCGCCCGAGGAAUUGCGCAGCCGCCCGAGGAAUUGCGCAGCCGCCCGAGGAAUUGCGCAGCCGCCCGAGGAAUUGCGCAGCCCUAGCGCAUGUCUCACCUUUGCAUUCUCCUCAGUUCAUCCUCUCAGCGCUUCAGGAAUCAGCUGAUGUCCCUUUGUAAACAAUAAGAAAAGGAAAAUGUCAAUCACAGAGACAGACAUGUUUGUGUGAGAGAAAAAGUUCAACUCAGGGAUUGGUCAGACAGCCAAGAGAAAGUGACAUCACAGGAGUUCAGCCAAAUAUGCGAAACCUAUCUGACUCUCAUCAUCCGUCCCUGCCGAUAUCAAGUCUGCGAUGUCUUUAUGGUUAAAUCAGUAAAAGGUGUAGAAUUGAUUGAUGUAGAAUUGCGCAGUCGCCCGAGGAAUUGCGCAGUCGCCCGAGGAAUUGCGCAGCCCUAGCGCAUGUCUCACCUUUGC